GACAGAGGCCCCAAGCGUUAGGCGGAAUCACUGGGCUUAAAGCGUGUGUAGGCGGACGCCUAAGUGUCUUGUGAAAUCCCACGGCUCACCCGUGGAACUGCUGGGCAUACUGGGCGUCUUGGGCCAACUAGGGGCAGCCGGAACAAGCGGUGGAGCGGUGAAAUGCGUAGAUAUUGCUCGGAAGGCCAACGGCGAAGGCAGGUUACUGGUACGCAACUGACGCUGAGGCACGAAAGCGUGGGGAGCAAACAGG
rnacentral:rRNA from 1 species